rnacentral:lncRNA from 1 species
UUUUGAGGAGGAAGGACCACUCUCAUGGAGAAAAAUCACAUGGUGACAAAAGUGAUGAUGCUCAGAAGUGGCAGAGCAAGAAUUCAGAGCCAGGCAUGUGGGACUCCAGCACGUGCACACGCAUUGACGUUGAGAAGGAGCAGGAAGGAAGGAGGAAGACAGGGAACAAGAAAAUGGAAAGGUAACAUGGAGGGCAACAGAGUGCUGCCAGGUCUUAGAACACAGAGUUCUAACUGUUAUUCUGGAGAUCCAGGAGCAGAAAUCUCGAACCGGGAGGAAAAUGAAACCUCUGUGCAUCCAGUUGGACACUCUAGUACCCCACAUUCAAAGAACCCUGGCUUAACAGUAGUAUCAGGCAUGCUGUCAUUGUUUUCCUUCCACUUGUUUUAAAAGCUGCAAGACCCCCACAAACGCUGGUGCAUCAAAGGAUUCUCAUUCUCUGAAGGAAAGACAACAUUGCCCGAUUUGCCAGUUCUUUGCGUACGGAUGAAGGCUUCCAAGAACAACUGGCAAGAGAGGAGACACAGUGUGGCUAACUUGUUUGUUUCUGAAGAAUCACAAGAUUAAAGUCAACGGGAAACUGAAAUUUUGACAAAAGAAACUUAAAAGAGAUGUAUCAUAAAUUUUCUGUUAGUAUUUUGAUAAGGAAGCCAAACUGGGUAUAAAAAAAUGAACUGUGUCCUUAGUGAUCUGGAAGCAAGUGGGAUAAAAAGAUCGGCCUUUGAACCCUGUGUCUGAGCCUGUGUGUGUGUGUGCAUGUGUGUGUGUGUGCGCAUGUGCACCUGAGCAUCCUUGGAACAGCUGAGCCUGCUGUGGGCGUCACUUCCCCCAGAGCCAUGGAACCAGUGUUCAAGUCACCCGGAUGUGGUCUGGGACAGAGAAGGACAGAUGGAAUGUGCUCCUGUAAGAAGAGGGGCUGAUCCAGGUUGGAGCAAAAUUAAGCCCAAUGCCAAGUGGUAAGAGGCUCAUUUCAGCAUUGUGGGCCAAGCAUUAUUAAUGGCUUUUAAAAUAAAC